rnacentral:rRNA from 1 species
AACCCAAAGGACUUGGCGGUGCUUCAAACCCACCUAGAGGAGCCUGUUCUAUAACCGAUAAUCCUCGUUAAACCUCACCACCCCUUGCCAAAUACCGCCUAUAUACCGCCGUCGUCAGCUUACCUCUUGAGAGCCUCAUAGUAAGCCCAAUGGGCUGCGCCCAGCACGUCAGGUCGAGGUGUAGCGAAUGGGGUGGAACGAAAUGGGCUACAUUUUC